UACGUAGGGGGCAAGCGUUGUCCGGAUUCAUUGGGCGUAAAGAGCGUGUAGGCGGCCAGGUAGGUCGGUUGUGAAAACUGGAGGCUCAACCUUCAGAGGUCGACCGAAACCAUCUGGCUAGAGUCCGGGAGAGGAGACUGGAAUUCCUGGUGUAGCGGUGGAAUGCGCAGAUAUCAGGAGGAACACCGGUGGCGAAGGCGGGUCUCUGGGCAGUAACUGACGCUGAGGAGCGAAAGCGUGGGGAGCGAACAGG
rnacentral:rRNA from 1 species